CUGAGCGGCGGACGGGUGAGUAACGCGUGGGUAACCUGCCUCAUACAGGGGGAUAACAGUUGGAAACGGCUGCUAAUACCGCAUAAGCGCACAGUACCGCAUGGUACGGUGUGAAAAACUCUGGUGGUAUGAGAUGGACCCGCGUCUGAUUAGCUAGUUGGUGGGGUAACGGCCUACCAAGGCGACGAUCAGUAGCCGACCUGAGAGGGUGACCGGCCACAUUGGGACUGAGACACGGCCCAAACUCCUACGGGAGGCAGCAGUGGGGAAUAUUGCACAAUGGGGGAAACCCUGAUGCAGCGACGCCGCGUGAGCGAAGAAGUAUUUCGGUAUGUAAAGCUCUAUCAGCAGGGAAGAAAAUGACGGUACCUGACUAAGAAGCCCCGGCUAACUACGUGCCAGCAGCCGCGGUAAUACGUAGGGGGCAAGCGUUAUCCGGAUUUACUGGGUGUAAAGGGAGCGCAGGCGGGAAGACAAGUUGGAAGUGAAAACCAUGGGCUCAACCCAUGAAUUGCUUUCAAAACUGUUUUUCUUGAGUAGUGCAGAGGUAGAUGGAAUUCCCGGUGUAGCGGUGGAAUGCGUAGAUAUCGGGAGGAACACCAGUGGCGAAGGCGGUCUACUGGGCACCAACUGACGCUGAGGCUCGAAAGCAUGGGUAGCAAACAGGAUUAGAUACCCUGGUAGUCCAUGCCGUAAACGAUGAUUACUAGGUGUUGGGGGAUUGACCCCCUCAGUGCCGCAGUUAACACAAUAAGUAAUCCACCUGGGGAGUACGACCGCAAGGUUGAAACUCAAAGGAAUUGACGGGGGCCCGCACAAGCAGUGGAGUAUGUGGUUUAAUUCGAAGCAACGCGAAGAACCUUACCAGGUCUUGACAUCCGAUGCAUAGCACAGAGAUGUGUGAAAUCCUUCGGGACAUCGAGACAGGUGGUGCAUGGUUGUCGUCAGCUCGUGUCGUGAGAUGUUGGGUUAAGUCCCGCAACGAGCGCAACCCUUAUUGCCAGUUACUACGUUAAGAGGACUCUGGCGAGACUGCCGUUGACAAAACGGAGGAAGGUGGGGAUGACGUCAAAUCAUCAUGCCCUUUAUGACCUGGGCUACACACGUACUACAAUGGCGUUAAACAAAGAGAAGCAAGACCGCGAGGUGGAGCAAAACUCAAAAACAACGUCUCAGUUCAGAUUGCAGGCUGCAACUCGCCUGCAUGAAGUCGGAAUUGCUAGUAAUCGCGGAUCAGCAUGCCGCGGUGAAUACGUUCCCGGGCCUUGCACUCACCGCCCGUCA
rnacentral:rRNA from 1 species